rnacentral:ribozyme from 17 species
UAUUUUUUCGAUUUUUUUUUCUAUUUCUUUAUUCUUUUUAUGUUUCAUUCAUUCCUUUUUUUUUUUUUUUUUUUUUUUUUAAGCAGAAAUGUAGGUCUAGUGUACCGGUAGUCUAGCUGGUAUUGAUAAAGUGAAGAGAAAACAAAUUGCCAAUUUCAAUCUCCUAG